GUUUGUUUAGAUAUUCAAUGCACAUAGAACACUGAAUGCGGUUUGAUCCUAUUUUCACUGUUAUAUAGUAUAUGUACAGUGAAUAAUUCACCGAAUACCGCUUACAUAAGACAAUGUCUGUUCUAUCAUAUUGUGUAAUAUAUAAGGUAUUCAACCAACAAUUCUAUAGUAAUAACAAACAAACAAUAAUAAAAAAAAAC
rnacentral:misc_RNA from 1 species